UUCCUGAAGAGUUUGAUCCUGGCUCAGCGCGAACGCUGGCGGCGCGCCUAACACAUGCAAGUCGUGCGCAGGCUCGCUCCCUUUUGGGAGCGGGUGCUGAGCGGCAAACGGGUGAGUAACACGUGGGUAACCUACCCCCAGGAGGGGGAUAACCCCGGGAAACCGGGGCUAAUACCCCAUAAUGCCACCCGCCACUAAGGCGUGGUGGCCAAAGGGGGCCUCUGGGGCUUAUGCCCUAAGCUCCCGCCUGGGGAUGGGCCCGCGGCCCAUCAGGUAGUUGGUGGGGUAACGGCCCACCAAGCCGAUGACGGGUAGCCGGCUUGAGAGGGUGGCCGGCCACAGCGGGACUGAGACACGGCCCGCACCCCUACGGGGGGCAGCAGUGGGGAAUCGUGGGCAAUGGGCGCAAGCCUGACCCCGCGACGCCGCGUGGGGGAAGAAGCCCUUCGGGGUGUAAACCCCUGUCGGGGGGGACGAUGGGACCGUGGGCUAAUACCUCACGGUCCUGACGGUACCCCCAGAGGAAGGGACGGCUAACUACGUGCCAGCAGCCGCGGUAAUACGUAGGUCCCGAGCGUUGCGCGGAGUCACUGGGCGUAAAGCGUCCGCAGCCGGUCCCGUAAGCGGGAUGUCAAAGCCCGCCGCUCAACGGCGGAACGGCAUCCCGAACUGCGGGACUUGAGGCGCGCCCGGGCAGGCGGAAUUCCCGGGGUAGCGGUGAAAUGCGUAGAUCUCGGGAGGAACACCGAAGGGGAAGCCAGCCUGCUGGGGCCGUCCUGACGGUCAGGGACGAAAGCCGGGGGAGCGAACCGGAUUAGAUACCCGGGUAGUCCCGGCUGUAAACCAUGGGCGCUAGGGCUUGUCCCUUCGGGGGCAGGCUCGCAGCUAACGCGUUAAGCGCCCCGCCUGGGGAGUACGGGCGCAAGCCUGAAACUCAAAGGAAUUGGCGGGGGCCCGCACAACCGGUGGAGCGUCUGGUU
rnacentral:rRNA from 1 species